UACGGAGGGUGCAAGCGUUAAUCGGAAUUACUGGGCGUAAAGCGCGCGUAGGUGGUUGUUUAAGUUAGAUGUGAAAGCCCUGGGCUUAACCUAGGAACUGCAUUUAAAACUGGGCAACUAGAGUAUGGUAGAGGGAAGUGGAAUUCCACAUGUAGCGGUGAAAUGCGUAGAGAUGUGGAGGAACACCAGUGGCGAAGGCG
rnacentral:rRNA from 1 species